rnacentral:rRNA from 1 species
UCACGAAAUAGUUUGAUCUAAUUAUUAUAAAUUUAUAGAUUUAGUAUAAUAUGUAGUAUAAUAUUAUUUAAAAUAAUUAUUAGGGGUGAUAGGCUUUACAAAAACUAAGAUAACUUGAUUUCUUAGAAAAGUAUUUAGUACAAUGUCAAUUUAAAAAUGAUUAGGUUUUUAAAACAUAUAAAGUAAUAUUAAUUAAGAGUGCAAAAUUUAAUAGUUAGUAAAUUUUGAUAUUAACAUUAAUGUAUUUGUACUUAUAUAAUUUAUAAGGACGUGGAAAAAUUUAAGUGUCAUUUAAAAUGUUAAUAUGAGUAUUCAUGAUAGAUUUAAAUAAUGAAUUCGGCAAAUUAUUGCUCGACUGUUUAUCAAAAACAUAGCUAUAUGAAAUAUAUAUGUAGUUAUUUCUGCUCAAUGAAGUUUUAAAUAGCCGCAGUACCCUGACUGUGCAAAGGUAGCAUAAUCAUUUUGGCUUAUAAUUUGAAGGUCUAGUAUGAAUGAAUAUACGGGUAAUUACUGUAUCAUGUAAAUUAAUAGAAUUUACUAAAUAAGUGAAAAUUCUUAUAGUUAAAUAAUAGACGAGAAGACCCUAGAAAUUUUUAAAAGUAAAAAUAAUUGGUUUUUGUUGGGGCAACAGUGUAGGUGAACCUACAUUAAAUAUAAGAAGUUUUUAAAAAGAUAAAAUAAAUUACUCUAGGGAUAACAGCAUAAUUUUUAAAAGUUUGUGACCUCGAUGUUGGACUAGGAAUUUAAAAUUUAAAAGAUUUAUAAAUAUUGCUCUGUUCGAGCAUUUACUCCUACAUGAUC